AUGGAAUUCAGAUCAAAGUCAUGCAGAGAUGAAAAGCUACAAAUUGAAGGCAAGGUGGCAGCACCAAAAAGCAUGCAAGAUCUGAGGUGUUACAGUGCUAAUUAUGUUUAUAAUCCAAACCAGACAUGUAACAAGGAGAUGAAGAUGAAGAGAGCAAAAAGCACUUCAAAGAGUUGGAGUUUCGAUGAUGCUGAACUGCAGAGGAAAAAGAGAAUUGCUGGUUACAAAUUAUAUGGUGCUGAAGGGAAAAUGAAAGGGUCUUUAAGAAAGAGUUUCAAGUGGAUCAAAAACACUUACACUCAAGCUAUCUAUGGAUGGUGGUGA